rnacentral:rRNA from 1 species
AUACGAGGGUGCUAGCGUUGUCCGGAUUUACUGGGCGUAAAGGGUACGUAGGCGUUUUAAUAAGUUGUAUGUUAAAUAUCUUAGCUUAACUAAGAAGAUGCAUCCAAAACUGUUAAAAUAGAGUUUGAGAGAGGAACGCAGAAUUCAUAGUGUAGCGGUGGAAUGCGUAGAUAUUAUAAAGAAUACCGGUGGCGAAGGCGGCCUCCUGGAUCUGUACUGACACUGAGGUGCGAAAGCGUGGGUAGCGAACAGGAUUAGAUACCCUGGUAGUCCACGCCGUAAACGAUGACAACUAGCUGUUGGGAGACAACGUCUUUCAGUGGCGCAGCUAACGUUUUAAGUUGUCCGCCUUGGGGAGUACGGCCGCAAGGCUAAAACUCAAAUGAAUUGACGGGGACCCGCACAAGCGGUGGAGCAUGUGGUUUAAUUCGAUGCAACGCGAAAAACCUU